rnacentral:rRNA from 1 species
GGUGGUGGAAAGUUCCGGCGGUGGAGGAUGAGCUCGCGGCCUAUCAGCUAGUUGGUGAGGUAAUGGCCCACCAAGGCUUCGACGGGUAGCCGGCCUGAGAGGGUGACCGGCCACAUUGGGACUGAGAUACGGCCCAGACUCCUACGGGAGGCAGCAGUGGGGAAUAUUGCGCAAUGGGGGAAACCCUGACGCAGCAACGCCGCGUGAGUGAGGAAGGCUUUAGGGUCGUAAAGCUCUGUCAGAAGGGAAGAAACUACAGUGGUCUAAUAGGCCAUUGUACUGACGGUACCUUCAAAGGAAGCACCGGCUAACUUCGUGCCAGCAGCCGCGGUAAUACGAAGGGGGCUAGCG